ACAAUUUUACAUAAAAGUACAUCAAGAUUCAAACUAUGAAAUAAAUAAUUUAAUACAUGGAGCAUAAUGUCAAAUUACAACCCCACAUAUUUAAGUUUAUAUAUAUAUAUAUAUAAAAGUUUAAUUACAUAUUUUACUACUUAACUUUUAUUAUUGCAUGUGUACUGGUACGGUCGGACGGUCACCUUAAUGCGGUCAGUAUCAUAGGUCAUUCAAUCACUUGCUCACGAUAACGGGUCUAUGAGUCCGCACGUGACUGACCGACCCAUAACGAUGAGUCAUGGGGUGAUCAAGUCAGCGAGGUUAACUCAUAAUUAAAGGUCAUUUAAUGCAAUCCUAAACACAAAUCAAUCUCUUAAUCUGACCCACCAACAAAGUCCAUUAAGGUAAUAUAAAUAACGCAGAUUUCAAGAAUCAGGUACGUCAUUAUCUACCGUGCCCUGACAACCGAGAGUCAAGUCAUUUCGUCGGAGUGCCUUCUGUAUGUACCAUCUGAGCCUGUGUCCUCGGACGACCGCGAGAGAAGACGAAAGAAGGAAGGAAAGUAGCAAGGAAAGAGGAUUGAAGCCUAAAGCAAACAACCAACAGAGUUCUCCAGACCCCAAUACCCGAAAGAGAACAUCAUGAAUUUUACUAUUUGAUUUUGUAUGCGUAUUUUAUUGUUAUUUUUAAAUUUAACAUAUCAUACUGUCUAAAUUGUUUUCCUAUACUUUACCAUUAUAUAUUUUUCAAUUUGUAUGCAUUGCACCAAUUAUUU
rnacentral:lncRNA from 1 species